UACCAUUUCAGAAUUGAGCAUUGGUCCUCA
rnacentral:piRNA from 1 species